AAUGAACGCUGGCGGCAUGCCUAACACAUGCAAGUCGAACGAAGCCUUCGGGCUUAGUGGCGCACGGGUGCGUAACGCGUGGGAAUCUGCCCUUGGGUUCGGAAUAACAGAGAGAAAUUUCUGCUAAUACCGAAUGAUGUCGCAAGACCAAAGAUUUAUCGCCCGGGGAUGAGCCCGCGUAGGAUUAGCUAGUUGGUGUGGUAAAGGCGCACCAAGGCGACGAUCCUUAGCUGGUCUGAGAGGAUGAUCAGCCACACUGGGACUGAGACACGGCCCAGACUCCUACGGGAGGCAGCAGUGGGGAAUAUUGGACGAUGGGCGAAAGCCUGAUCCAGCAAUGCCGCGUGAGUGAUGAAGGCCUUAGGGUUGUAAAGCUCUUUUACCCGGGAAGAUAAUGACUGUACCGGGAGAAUAAGCUCCGGCUAACUCCGUGCCAGCAGCCGCAGUAA
rnacentral:rRNA from 1 species